rnacentral:lncRNA from 1 species
GGGCUGAGCCACCUAGGUUCCCACGCAGGAGUCUCCGCAGCAGCAGACACAGGCACAGGGUGGCACUCUUCUCUCCUCAGUUAGCCAGACUGAGUCCGUAGUGUAAAGCCGGGUCAGCAGUCCUUGCGCUGACCGAGGUGGAGGCACUUUCUGUUGCUGCAGCUGGAGGUUGUAUCGACCCUGGGGAAGAUGUCUUCAUUGCUUCUGUGGUACUGGGGAUGGAACGCAGGGCCCAUUUCUAUGUUAGGCGAGUGCUCUACCACUGAGGUACAACCUUAGCCCUCUUUAUAAAACAUUUUUACAUUUUGAGACCUGGUCUUAUGAUGUUGCCGUAGGCUGGCCUUGAAUUUGCUCAGUGGCUGAGCCUGAUCUUCUGUUUAAUACUCCUGUCACCCAAGUAACUAGGAUUACUGGCCAGGCUGCUUGAAGAUCUUUUAGGGAAGGGGUUUGGGGAACAGGGUCUCGUGUGUCAGACUAGCCUCAAAGGUGCUAGGAUUAUAGGUCUCUGUCACCAUGCCCAGCUAAGGAUGUAGUCUUAAGACUUUCAGACAUAAUUAUACCAGCAUGAGCUUCUUCAAAAUUUAUGUGCAUACUAUGGGAUUUUGUUGGUGUGCCUAUACUGAAAUAGCCAGUAGUAAGAUGACUGACUCAAAGGUCUUAAGGAAGUAUUUCACUUCCCCAGUAAGAGACUUCAUGCAGAAGUUACAGUUGUGUUCCUUUGAGAUUCUUAUUGAAAAAGGGUCUUUGUUUAGCCCAGGCUGGCCUCAUACUUGCAGUCCUCCUGCCUCAGCCUCCCUGAUGUGUAGAUUACAUGGGUGCGUCAUUAUGUCCAAUGCCUGGGAGAAUAAUCAUAACGCCCACCUCUGCAGUCUGAGAAGCCGUCCUGUCAGCUGUGAGGGAUGCAGGAAUGAACACUCAGCUAUCCAGGUCCAGUUACUCUUUCCUUUCUAGUAUGCUAGGACACCUUCAGGUGGACUCUUCAGCUUGCUUUAGCCUACAUGCUGGGUGUCUUCAGUAUGUUCUACACCUGUUUCCUGUUUCUGCCAUUAGUGAGAUCUGGUUUCAGCACACAGUUGUUCUUUCUCUUCUUUAUUGUUUUUGUUUGUUUGUUUGUUUGUUUGUUUUUCAAGACAGGGUUUCUCUGUAGCCCUGGCUGUCCUGGAACUCACUCUGCAGACCAGGCUGGCCUCAAACUCAGAAAUCCACCUGCCUCUGUCUCCCGAGUGCUGGGAUUAAAGGCGUGCACCACCAGGCCUGUCGUUCUUUUUCUUCUUGUAAUUACAUGUAAACCUCUGUUUAGCACAAUCUUUUGAUGUUUGCAGUAAUGCUUUACUGUCACUGGCUUGGCACUGAAUUUUGAUACCCAUAAAGUACUGGCAGACUUUAUGUCACUGGGAUGAAUGUAAGCCUUGCACAAACUUAGAGCUAUUCAUAUAUGAUGAGCCUUUAGCAAGCUGCCCGGUCCUCAUGGGCAAACUUACCCGGCUGUAGUUGCUUUUUUCCAGUAGUAGUUCCUUUUGUUAAACCUCUAGCAAUCAAUAAAGAUUUAAUUCA